rnacentral:lncRNA from 1 species
CUUUUAGAAUAUAAAGCAAAAUUCAACCAAAACAGGGUGCUUAUUUUGAUCAAAUGCGUAUGAGAUUUUUACUGAAGUUGUGGAAAUACAUAUUUGAUUUCUGUUGUGAUGACAGGUACUCAAAUUAGGUGUGUUAAAGGUUACCAUUUAAUAAAAAUAUAAAACCAUUGUGUGAAUAACUGACACCAUAUUCUCUUUCCAUUCAGAAUAUAAAACAUAGUUUCUAUUUCCUUUGUCCCCCAAAAACAUCAUUUUGCUUUUUAAAUUCUCUAAUAAUUUGUCAGCAUUUUGGUUUUACAGACAUGGCAAGCAGGUUUCAUAAACAUGGAUAAGAAGUCCACACACAGAAGUUCUGGAGAUGCCAGGACUGGCAGAAGUGGAGGUAAACACAAACAGAAUAAAAAAGGAAAGCAAAACCCCAAUCACCGCCAAUCCCGACACAGAUCAUCAACGUCUCAUUCUUCAGAUGACCGUGUGUUUCCUUUUUCUCUAUCAUCUUCAGGAAGCCAGACGGAUUCAAGUCUCGAAGGUGCUACCAAGGGAAAAAUUAAGAGAAAGAGAAGGGAGAAGAGGAGUAGAUGGAGGAAAGAAAGAAAGGUAGGUAAUUGUGAAUAAUUUAAUGUAAGUAUAAAAAUUGGCUCUUAGAGGAUUCUUCA